UACGAAGGGUGCAAGCGUUACUCGGAAUUACUGGGCGUAAAGCGUGAGUAGGUGGUUUCUUAAGUCUGCUGUGAAAGCCCCGGGCUCAACCUGGGAAUUGCAGUGGAUACUGGGAAGCUAGAGUGCGGUAGAGGGUAGUGGAAUUCCCGGUGUAGCGGUGAAAUGCGUAGAGAUCGGGAGGAACACCAGUGGCGAAGGCGGCUCACUGGCCCGGUACUGACGCUGAGGUGCGAAAGCGUGGGGAGCAAACAGG
rnacentral:rRNA from 1 species